CAAGUACUCCCUCCGUUCGGAAUUACUUGUCGCGGAAAUGGAUGUAUUUAAACGUAUUUUAGUUCUAGAUACAUCCAUUUCCGAGACAAGUAAUUCCGAAGGGAGUACCUG
rnacentral:pre_miRNA from 1 species